rnacentral:snRNA from 1 species
AUACUUACCUGGACGGGGUCGACGGGCGAUCAAGAAGGCCCGUGGCCUAGAUCAAAUGCUCACAUUGCACUUGGUGAGCGCGUUGGUUUACCAUCUCCCCAAGUGGGAGAGUGGACGUCAUAAUUUGUGGUAGAGGGGGUACGCGUUCGCGCGGCCCCUG